UAAUUUUUCCUCUCCUGUUCCUCACAAAAGGAUUUCCCUUCUUUCUCUCUCUUCAAAACCUUCGUCCCUUCUUUCUCACCAGAAACCCUAGUUCAUUCCCACCUAAGCUGAAUCUGCAACUUACAAACCAACACAAAAGAAUCACACUCUCUAUUUCUUUCUCACCUCUCUGCUAUCCUCACAGCCAUGGCUUAAGAACAUCAAUCAAAAUGCAAAAGCACAACCACACAAACCCUCAGACCCUUUUGGUCCCCGAUCCCUAAUUCAUUAUUGAGAGUGAUUACAAAUUACAAGGUAAUUAAAUUUGUAGACGCCAAAUACAUAUAGAAAAAACAAGGUAUGCAGCUUUUAUCUUUUGCUCUCUUUCAACCUUCGUUCUUCUGCUCUUCUGAAUUCGUAUUGUUUUAGAUCUUGCUUUUGAAAGCUCUCAGGGAUCUGUUAGGGUUUUUUAGAUAAAUCAAAAUCAAAUAUAUAAACCCUACGCUGAAACGAAAGCAAGACGAUGGUUUAUCCUGUAUAAGGAAAAACAAGAUAUCUCUUAUGAAACAAAUACAAGAUUCACCCAUUCACGGCUUCCUUCAAACAAAAAUCAGUGUUUACGAUGGCCAUGGUAGUCCUCUCAUUCUUGAUUUGGUACAUUUAGCGCAUUUAAUAAACUUCAACACUUAUCGUCCAUACUUAAUAGAUUCUUCAUUUUUGUUGGUUUUGACACAACAUAUUCCACCUUCAUGGUGUUUUUUCGGUAUCGCUGCGUUCUUUACAUUUAAUUUACUCACUUUUAAAAAGUUGUAUUCGUGUCAGUGUCGGUGUUUAUAUUUUUUAGCUUAUCUCACUAACAUGUGAUCACUGACAGGUGAGGGUGCUGAAACAGAUAGGAGUUUACUAUUGUGAGGUCCUUUAAUUGGAUCGGAUCCAUAAUGGACUCCAUUCACGGCAUUACCGGUCCAAGUGAGGGUUUUCCUCGGGUUCUUAUACAUUUCACUUUCGAUUUUCUUUAAUUUUCUAGUUGUUAAAAUAUUGUCUAUUCCUUUUCUAUAGAAUAUUCUCAGAGGAGAGCCCCUCAUGCUUUUGAUUUUGAAUUUGGUUUUUAAGGUUUGAUAUUCAUUUGAACAAUGCCAUUCUUGUUGAAGAUAAGCACAAAUCUAUUUAAUAAGGUAUUUACACUACAUGUAAAACAUAUACAGGUACUAAACAUGAUUUGUUGUUGGUUGGAGAACCCUAAUUUUGAAGCUUUUAAGUAUCACACUAACCACAUUUCUUUUCUCUAUGGUAUUUUCAGGCAGCCAUUUUGUUAGCAAACUUGUCAUUUAUCAUUGUCGGGUAAGCAACGGAAACAGAAGAGUUCUUCGAUGCGGUUAAUUUCAUUUCAUCUAUGCAGGAAACUCUCCGUCUCAUUGUCAAAGUUAGGGAAUCAUAAUGCUUUGGAAGUUGAUGCUAUGGACAAGAUUCCUUGUGGUUGACUUUUCAAAUGCCUUCCGUUUAUGUGCCUGAUCAAGAUCCGAAGCUAAGUAUUCAAUCUAAUUAUUAUUUUAAAAUCUAUUUUGUUUCCUUUUAAUUAGGGUUUGCCUUUAAAUAAAAUCUUGCCUACAUUCACUUUCUUCCUUCUUUUUUUGCCUUUGCCUUUGCCAGAUAUUUUCAGGGUCAACCCCCGACUACGAACCAUACCAAAUCAAAUUCAAAGCUAAUUGUUUAUCUAUUUAUUUUAAUGUCUUUUAUCUUUUAUUUUUGAUUAGGGUUAGCUAUGUCUGCCUCUGAACUGAUAAUGCACUCACCCUACUUUUGCUUGCUAUUUUUCCCACCUUCUCAGGGUUUGCCAACUGUCAAAGCUCGAAUAGUCGGUAACCCUAAACUUUAAUCUCCUUUAUUCUUCUGAUUUUAUUUAUUCUGUAUAUCAAACCCGCUAGCUUCAUUCCCCCUUUCCUCCGCUGGUUUCCUUUUCCCCUUCCCCAUAUUGCUAUUAUUACUGUUAAUAUUAAUUGUUGUGGUUCGUAAUCUUAGGGAGUGUAAGCCUUGAAUCAAUUUAGAAUAAUUAAUUACAAGAUAAAUAAUUGAAUUUAAUCACGUGAUUGUUGCACCCACGCACACUUUUUGGUAACCCCUUUUGUUGCCUGUUGCCUUGAUUUUUUGAAGAAUAGCCAUUGUCCCUCGAAUACGAGGAUACCUCAGCCGUGCUGCCUCGAUUAUGCAAAGGUCAUAAGACCCUAAUGAUGCUGCCUUCGAUACACCAAUAUGACCUCGACCCUCGGAAGUUGCCUACAAAAAGGCUGAGGUAUCCUCUGGUUGCCUACGAAAGGCUAUUCUAGUUCUUCCCUUAGACUACCUGCCUCUCUAUGGCAUGAGACAGUCUUAUGGCGAACGACAUUGCGACGACCCUUCAACCUCCAAAUGAAAGGCUUCCUGCCCUCUUAUGGCAAGGAUAGAUCCUUUCACCCUGAAAGGCUAAAAGAACAUAUUUUUUUACAAAUACUAAGGUAAUUUCUCCUAAUUGCCUUGCUCUGGCUAAAACUUUUUCAUAUUCUUUCUUAUAAACCUUCAAAAUGGCUACGCUCAUUUACGAGCUAAAGUCUGUAUUCACUUCUUCUACAUUUCUGAAAUCAAAGAGCAAAGCAAUUAAGAGCCCAUGGAUAACCAUGGAUGCAAAGGGUGCCUUACGCAUUUCCUUUGCAUAAAUUACCCCCCGAAUCCGUUUUCUUUUAAAAAGGUUUUUUCCUGUUCUUUUAGCCUUUCUAUUUAAUUUGGAUAAAAUAAAAGUCGGUGGCGACUCAUGCUUAACCGCGACAUUUUCGAUUAUAAAAGUCAGUUCACCGUAUUACAGAACUGGCGACUCUGCUGGGGAAUUAAAUAUUCGAUAAAAGAGGGGUUACCUUAAAGUUUAGGAUUCACCUUAAAUGUUUUAUAUUGUUUACUUUGUUUGCCUUAUUUUUGCAGGGCUGUUUUGGGUAUUUUGUUGUGUGAAAGAUCCUAACCCGGAUCUGAGUACCUUAGGUAAAUGGCAUGAGAUCAAUGAGACUGCACAGUGUAUACUGAUGUGGUUGAUCUGAUGGCCAUCGUUAGUGUGACACAUUGGUUUGUCCUAGUGUUCCUUGGGAUCCGACCUGAGGAAAUGCUUGGCUGCCGAGUGGUGUCAUUAAGCACUAAUUUGCCCUUAGAACCUUAGUCGAACUUGACUUUGGCCUAUUAGAAAUUUUUGAGGUAUGGAGGAGUUCUAGGACUUUUUAGAAACCUUAGAGAGUCCUCUAACCAGUGUCUUUGGUCUCAUAUUAAAAUUAUUUUCCAUGCUCCUUGUGUGUUCUUUUGAAAAAAGUGACUUUUUGUUGACUUUUGAAAAUGACCUAUAAUACUUUGGUCCAUAUCUCUCAAAUGAAGCAUUUUUAGCCUUGGCAUGUGAGAGACAAAAUUUUAGGGAAUCCAAUUUCCUUCAAAAUGAGCUUUGAAUGCAAAAUUUCUGAUGUUCCAUGUGAGAGUUAUGGCUGGUCAAAGUUCAGUUGACUUUCUCCCAUACAAACCCUAAUUUAGAAACUUUUUGAUUUGUUGAUUUUUGAUCUUUCCUUGAUGAACCAUGAUAAAUUCUUGAUCAAAUGGUUAAUUAUACUUCAAUAUGAGGAUUUUGACAAAGAAUCAAAAGUUUUGACUGUACUUUACCAUAGUUGACUUUUAGGUCAACCUAGUAGACUAUUGACUUUUUGGACAUUUGAGUGAUCAAUCCUUUAAGCUGAGACUUGAUACUUGUCAUAGAGGUAAUGUGAGAUGUUUUGAGCCAUAUGGGAUGCCUUGGAGCCAUUGAUUCAUUGAUUUUCCUUUGAACAAACCAAACCCUUGUUUCUGAGCCCUGUUUAGGAGAGUGUGUCUUGGAGCUUUGUGUAUUGAUUUGAACUUGAAUAGGAGAAAUAGUAUGGGAAAAUUUUGGGGUAUGACAGCUGCCCCUGUUCAAUUUUCUUAAACCUGAAGAUGUAGAGUGGUUUAUAGACCAGUCGGUAUCUGAAGGUCGAAGGGGAUUGAACACUAGAAUACCUAGAAAUUUGUACCAUCGGGGGAUGGCUUUAGAUGCCAUCCAGAUGAGCAUUAAGAUAAGUUAUGUAUCUGAACUUGAAUCAGUAAUUGUUUGAAUAUUGAUCGUGUCAUUACUGUUCGUAGUAGAUGAAUUAAAUCUUUGAGAAUUGGUCGUGUCAGCACCGUUCGUAGUAACUGAAUUAGAUUUAGGAAAUAGUUGAUCGUGUCCACACCAUUCGUGAUGAUGAGAUUAAAUCCUUGAAAGUUGAUCGUGUCAGUACCGUUCGUAAUACCUGAAUUAGAUCUUAGAAAGAUGAUCCUGUCUACACCGUUCGUGAUGAUAGAAUUAGAUUCUCUUGUCGUGUCAGCACCUUUCGUAGUGACUGUAUUAGAUUUUUGAAAAAUAAUUGAUCGUGUCCACACCGUUUGUGAUGACAGAAUUAGAUCUCUGACUGUGUCAGUACCGUACGUGGUAACUGAAUUAGAUCUUUGAAAAUGAUCGUGUCACCACCGUUCGUGGUAAAUAAAUUAGAUCUUCGAGCGUUUACCGUGUUAGUACCAUUCGUAGUAGAUGAAUUAGAUCUUGGAAAGUUGGAGAUUUCAUUCAUUUGUAUGUACCCGUAUUCUGCAAUAGGUGUAGCAAUUCGUAUAAUGUCAUGAUGCAUGCGUUAUGUAAUGAGUCCCUCAAAAUAAAUGAGAAACGUCGUAUGUUAUGCAUGAGUUUAUUAUGAGAUACUAUAUGCAAUGUAUGAGUAUGUAUGCGAUGUGUGGUCAUAAUUCAUAUCAUAUGAAGUAUUUUGAUCGGGACCCUGAUGUUUUUAUCUUGUCUGGAAGAUAUACGGCAGGGGAUUUAUGAUUUCUGCUUGGGGAUGAAUAGUGUCUUGACAUGCCCAGACUAGGGAUAAGAGGUAUUGAUAAACCGUGUUGGAGGAGAGCGAGGUGUCGGGGAACCGGCCAUGUUGAAGAUGUAAACUCUGUCGGAGAGCUAUGUUUUGUUGAUAGUAUUGAAGACAUCUUCUUAAUGACUACUCUGUGGGGAUUUAUUCAGAUUGUUGUCUUUGAAGUAGGACUUCUGGAUUACUUUAGACAUUGUCUCUUUGCCUUUCCUAUCUAAUGAACUAAUAGAUAUUUUUACGAAAGAAAAGAAAAGAUAAAUGAUAAUCAUGUUCAUAUGCAUAUGUUCAUUCAAAAUUAUCAUUGGACGUUUGCGUAUUCGAAAAGGAAAACUUGAAAAUAGAGAAUGUAACGCCCCGAAUUUAAUUAAUUGGUUAAUUACAUUAAUCAAGGAUUUAAUUAAUUGAAAUUGUCGAAGUUAGGAAUUUACCGGAAUUAAUCUAAGGAAUGUAAGUGAAUUAUUAUAUUGUUCGAGCGGUUGAAUGGAAAGUCGGAUUAAAUUCGUCGGUUAAUCGGAGAAAUAAUAUUAGGGAUAUUAUUAAUUUAUUGGAGUAUUUGUUUAAUUAACUUGGUUGGUGACAUUAGUAAUUUGGAGGUGUGAAUAUAGGUCCAUUAAGGAGUUUGUGAGAAUAAUAAUAAUAAUAUUGUGAAGUAAAAGGAAAAUAUUAGGUUUUGGCAUCAGUAAAACAAAAUAAGGGUUUCUAGAGAAAAGAAGUGAACGGGGAAGUGCUUGUGCAGAGAAGAGGAAAAGAAAAGAGAUACGAGAGUUGUGUCAGGAAGAAUGAAGUCGGAAGAAUUUUGCGAUGCUGGAAGCUUGGAUUCGACCGAAAUUUCAAUCGGAAGAACGAAUUGUAGAGCGAACUCCGAAUACAAGGUAAGGGUGGGGUUCUUGCUCUAUAAACGGGGAUAUGAUGGACCGUAUGUGGGGUUUAGGGAAUUUACUUAUCUCUUUGUGUUCGAUUAAUUGUUCUGUGAAAUUGUUAAAUUGAUUUUCUGGAAUUUGUAUGACAAUCAUGUUGCUGUAUGUGAUUAAUAAUUGAUUAUGUGAUGUCUGUGAUGAUUGGGAUGAAUUUGGAAUUUUGAUCGGUGGAGAUUUUCUGUGAUGUUAAUGAAUUAUGAUGUUGCAAUGAUAAAAUUUUCCGAAACUGGAAAUUGUUGUGUUAAACGAAUACCGAUACCGGAAAGAAAUUAAGUCUGGGAAAAGAAGAAAUUCAAAGGGACGGACGGCCCUUGGUGUUGGGGCAGGCGCCCUUCAUGCUAGGAAGAGGUCCCUUUUGGGGACGGUGGACAUAUACCAGGAACGGGGGUCCCAAAUAUAAAUAUAAAUAUAGUGUCACUUGUCGUUGGAUGUCAAUUAGUUGGUAUAAUUUUGGUACUGUUUUCAAUACUGUUUAUUCAUUAGAAUAUGAAUUGGUAAGUUAAGGUUAAUUCAUGGGAAUUAGUAGAAUUAGUACUGUAGCGUCACUUUUUAUAUGCUGUGUAGUGUUAUAUAAAAUAUAUAGUCUUUUAUAUUAAGUAUAUAAAAUUCAACUAGUACCCCAACUUCAAUUUAGGAACUAGUUUCUAUAAUAGAAUUUAUCACUACUAUGUAUACACUGUAUCGUUUAUAUUUUAGGGACCAAAUAAAGUAUGAUAAAUUAUUUUUUUUGAUAAAAAAUAAAGUAUGAUAAUUUGAUAGACCCAUGUUUCUAUGAUAUUUUAAAGAUUGGUAUCAUAUGUUUUAGAUUAAGAGAUUUGUUUCAAGUAUACCAAUAUAUGAUAUUUUAUUAAUAAUAAUUAAAUAUUGAAUAAUAAAUAUUAUUAGUAUGAUAUUUUUAUAAGUUGAGUUAGAGAUAAAUGUUUAUAUUACAUGGUUAACGUAAGUUAUUUUGAAUAGGGUUGUUAGAGUUGCCGAUAGAGUUGAUAGAGUUGUCAAUAGUCGUGUAGUAUUAACUAACCGAGUAGUAUAAUUUAGGCGAGUUCGGAAUUGAGUUGGUAUCCAUGAAUUUGGCGAGGUUAUGGCGAAAUGAAUAUUAUGCUAUAUUAUAAUUUUGUGAAUUGCAUCAAAAUAAUGUGACGUUUAAUUAUCAAUCAUUAUUGAUAUAUUUUGGCGAUGUAGGCAAAUGCCUUAUGCGACGUUGUAUUGUGAUUGAUUGUGGUUGUUGCAUUUCAUAGUGUCUCAUAAAUUGCAUGUUGUAGCGACGGCCUGGAUUGGCAAAAUAGCGACGAAGGCCUAUGCCUGUUUUUGAUGCCUCUUUUAUCUGGCAAUUGGCGAUGGGGGCUGAAGCCCUGGGUACCACAUGCAUGAUGCAUUAGUCGUGUCUCACCCAUUUGCUUUAUUGCGAUGUUGUGCGUGAUUAUGUGAUUUUGAUUUUUGAAUUGUUUGUGAUUGAAAUUGAGGCGUGAGAUAUAUAUAUUAUGACUUGAACCGUAAUAUACUCUUUAUCAUGACUUUAUUUAUAUUGUUUGAUAUCUCACCCUUUGCUUGUUUUCGCCGUUUCCUUUAUACUGGUAACGUGCAGGUGAUGCUAGUGAGUGAAGGAUUAGCUGUCGCGAGUUGAGUCGGUUGUCGCUCUGAUACGUAGCACUCGGGGGGAUAAAAUGAUUGUUUUUAUUAUUGUUUUAAUUGCUGAAUUUUAUUUAGUUUGAUUUAAAUUGUAACUUAAAGUUACAGUGCAAAGAUGCUACGACUUGAUUUAAAUAUUUAUGAAGUUUGAUGGUUCCGCUGCGAAGUAAAUUAUUUGAUGAGUUGUU